AAGAUUGGAACAUGGAAGUUUCCUCAUCUUUUUUUCUUACAUACAUACAACCAUGGAUGAUACUUCACCUCUCUUACUUCUCUCUCUUCUUAUUCUAUUUUUUUGCCACAAGAAUGAAUGGAGAGAAGCCAAGAUCAAACUAUGGAACAUAUCUGAAGCAAGACACUCUUAUGUGCAUGUAGCAGAUGCCACCGGUGAACUCCUUACGGAUUUCUCUGCUGCGCUUCCGAGUCCACUCCGUUGAGCCAGUGGCCUACACCUGGGCUGUGACCAGGCGUCGAAGGUCGAACGUUUUCGGUGGUGGCGACGAGUUCACGGACCGCGAUUUUGAUGGAGACUGCGCUCCUGACGUCGUCGCCGACUCGACGUGCGCAUCGCUUACAUCCCCUGAGCUUGUACUUCUUUGCCAUCGGAUGCGCUUCCGCAGAUAAGACCGCUCCGCUGAUGGUUUCCGUGCUAUCACCUCCACCCUGAGGUGCACAGUGCUUGCAUCCUUUGGACUCGUGCUUCUUUGCCGUCGGAUGCCUUCCCUCGGACAAGAGUGCUUCACCUGUGGAGAUGAGUGCAAUGAGAAGAACACAAAUGCACAACAGCGGCUUCAUCUUGGCGAUUUCAGGAUGCCUUUUCUCCGAUAGAGGCGAGGAUGGUUUGGGGAGGAAGUGACGAGUGUAUGCUGGAUAUACAUACAUAUAUAUAUAUUGAAGUGUUUCUUUGUGCAUUUCCACCACCGUAAAACUCCAUAACCUUCUGGUGUUGCAUGUUUGAGGCCAAGAAUAAUGGCUUAAAGUGAUUAAUCAAAGAUUAAAUUAGUAAAUGUUCAGUCAAAUAAUACAUAUAUAACUUUUUAUAUUUAUAUAUAUAUCAUCAAGCAUGAUUUCUUUGCUUCACUGCCGUUCUUGUUGCUAUGGUAUCCCCCACAUAUAGGGCUUUAGAAUUCCUACUAAUUGGAUGGUCGUCAUGAGCAGAAUCUAAGUGGAAGCUUUCUCUAUUUGCGAUGAUUAGCAGCCAAAGCGAAAAUGCAGAGUUACCGUUCAUGAUACAUAUAGUUGCCGUCAUUAUUCUAUUCUAACGUAGGAACUUAGGUAUCAUAAUAAAAAUUUAGCCAUGAUAUAAAUCUAAUGAGUCUUAUGCUACAGAUUAGAGUAGUUAGUCAGGGAGUGCAGAUGAUGAUCUUGUUCCAUUGCUUUGUUUGCUGGUUGCUUAAUCAACCAAAAGAAGGUAUAAAAUAGCAUCAUGUUUGCUUAAUCAACCAGACAUAAUGUCUCUGUUUCUCAGGCUUGGGCUCAGAAUAAUUAAGGAUCAGUUCCAUUUCAUUCGAGCAGUUCUAAAAAGAAAAGAAGGAACAGAAAAUGAAACCAGACCGCCAUGUCUGGCGACCAUUUGCACUAAGCAAAGGAAGAAGAACAGCAUCGAUUCUUUGAAUGUCCACCCUCCGUUAAUAUCAGUUUGGAUUCAUGGAAGCUUCUUCCCGAUCAACAACUGAACUCCUUGCCGAUUACUGCUAGGUUGACUGAAUGAGACCGUCAAAAGCAGAAUGGAUGUAUCAUCUAAACUGGGAAUCGGCGUACAGAAAGCCAUCUAUAAUGCACGAGAAGAAAGAACGGUAGCAAAUGAGCCAUGUUCAAUGGGUGUUUCCUGAGGUGGUCUGCGUGGCGAUUCCACCAGUGUGUGUGAGGGUCUCCCUUUCUAUUUCUCUAGCAGAAACAUAAGAAGAAGAUGCUCAUUAGCUUCUGUUCCUAACAUUAGCAAUUGACCUUUCAAUUCUUGGAUUAUUAUCGAUUACUUCGCUGUGACCAUGAACACACAUUCUAAAAGCUAUUUGCUCGUUCAAUCUAAAUAUAUAAGCAGAUUGAUUCUACUCUCCUAAAGUUUUAUUGAAGAGAUGAAAAAUACUUCAAUACAUUAACAUGUUCCCUCUUCUAUUUAUACAAGAAAGGAUUUCCCUCAACAGAAUAGAGAAUUUUUCUCAACAGAAUAGAGAGAUUUCCUCAUAUAGUUGAGGAAAUCUUAUCUUCUAUCAUGCCCCCGUAAGAUGGUGCUCCAGCAAGAGCAAAUCACUGCUAUUGUUACGAAUUGCUGUUGCUAUGAGGGCACAACUGUUGGCAGAUCAGCGAAGGCAGCAAAGGCUAUCGCGGUGAGGAAGAUGAGGAUUAGCCGUGGAGCCUCUUAGGAAUGUGGCUGCAAUGACGUUGGUCACUGGCCGAAGACAAGGGCGAAGCUUCACUUUUCUCAACGACGUUGGUCGCUGGCCAAAGGCGAAACUUCGCUUUUCUCACUGCUCUGAUACCAUGAUAAAAAGAAUAGAAGAUACGAAUAAUUACUGAAGAAGCUUUAUUGAAGAAGUGAAGAAACUUUAUUGAAGAAAUGAAAAAUGUUUCAAUACAUGUUAAUUAACAUGUUCCCUCUCCUAUUUAUACAAAUUAGAAGAAAGGAUUUUUCAUGGAUUUUUCAUGUUCCCUCUCCUAUUUAUACAAAUUAGAAGAAAGGAUUUUUCAUGGAUUUUUCAUGUUCCCUCUCCUAUUUAUACAAAUUAGGAGAAAGGAUUUUUCUUAACAGAAUAGAGAGAUUUUGGAGAAAUCUUAUCUUCUAUCAGUGUGUAAUGUGUGUAAUGUGCUUUUGUUUCGCUAGUUGAUUUCUGAAACGACUUCUAUUUACAAAAGGGGGAAAACAAAAUGAAGUAAUCAUUCUACAAAUUUAUUCCGGAUGUAUUUCCAAAUUUAAUUGCUAAUCUAUGAUUCAUCAUGAUUUCAAUUAUCACGAUGCUAAAUGUGCAGUUCUUCUACCAAAGCAAUUAGGAAGAAGUUGGAAUAGCUCGUGUAGUUUUUACGGCACGUAUCCGAUCCUUUGGAGUUACGUAUUCUUGAAUUCGAUGGUGAUUUCCACCACUGGCUGGAGAUCGAAGUUUACGGAGUCGUCUCUCAUCCGACAGAAGUCUCGCAAACCUACAAAGAGUUCGAGAAUGCACCGAUCAAAUUCCAUAGAUUGCAUAGUAUGGCUUACCAACGAAAUCUGUAGAAAUUUUCUGAUGACUUCCCCACCUUCUGAGCGCGUCUUCGUUUGUUCCUUCUCCAUUUCCCACCGGUUCGAAAACGCCCGUCUCCAAAUUGACCCUUGAAACUGGCUUCUUCAGUAGCCUCUCUCCUACACUCACAAGAUCGUCAAGGUUCUCCUCUGUAGAGAUGUCAGCAGAUGAGACUGCCCCAGUUAAGGUGUCAUCCUACACUUUGCAUCAAAGACGAACAUGAUCAUCAGUAGAGCUACAUCUGUAAGCCAAGUCAGGGAAUGAAGAGCCGUUGCUGGUACCUCGAUGCGAAGAUAAUUGGACUCUGAUCGAAGAGCUUUAAACACCACCGAGAGAUGAAUGUCAACGAUGUCAGCACAUGACUGCAUCAACACAUCGACUAAAGGAGUAGAUCCACCACCAAGCAGCCAGCCGAAAACUCCCCACCGGCUUGCGCUCUUCGCACGAUACUUCCCUUCGACCUUAGCUGAGCCUGUGCCUAGUGAUAUCAGUAGAAACUUACGGUAGUCCACGGCCUCGCGAUUGAAGUGAUCUGGGUUCUUCUUGUGCACCUCCUUCGUCACCUCUCCCACAGCAACCAACGCCUGGAAGUCGAGCUUAGAGAGAUCAGAACAACUAGAGUUUACAGCGUCGAAGAGCGUCAAUUGAACUGACAGGAGAAUUACCGGGUUGUUGGCGGCUAUUCCACCAUCAAUGAGGUGAAACUCCCGACUACUGCUCCCUUCGGAAUCCUUUGUUUCGAAGUAAUGGGCUGGGAAGUACGUCGGAGCUGCGGUCGUGCCGAUACAGAUGUCGGAGAGGCAGGCAUCCAAACUGCUCUUACGCUUCACCUGCAACAGCUUCGGACAAUAUUAGAUCCGUGUAUUGCGUUUCUCGAAAGUGCCAAUUCUGCACCAUCUUCUUUCCCCCAUUAUCAGAGAAUUUGCAGAUGAAGCGGAUGCCAUGCACAUUCGAGAUGUUAAGAUUUGGACUGGUAGGUAAGAUUGUGGAUACUACAUCUCUUGGGGCCAUAUUAAGUAAAACAUCAGAGUAAUUUAUGUUAGUCGCAAGUUACCCAUGGGAUUUUGGAAUGUAAGCGUCUCAGUUAGUCGCCUUUUUGGCUAUCAACAGUGGAUUCUAAACGUAAGGCUUAUAGCUGCAAUACUGUCUUGUAUACUAUGAUCAUAGUUAGACUAUCGAGUAGAAAAAUAUGAUGCAGGUGAGCAUGAGAGUCGAUACCUCAUAGCUGGAGAAGAUGGUUGGGUGGAGCUGCUUAAUAUCGAAAGUAGGGAUUAUCACGUUCGUUAAGGUUUCAUGCAAACGCACACCUCCUAGCUUUUCCCUGAUAAGAGAGUGCAAAUAUGUGCCGCUGUACUUGGGUCCCCAUAGAGAUCGGAACAUCCUUCUAACUGGAGCCAGAAAUCCUCUAAACACAAGAAAAUUAAGUUGGUGAUCAGAUAUAUUACCGUGAUCAUAAAAAAUUAUUGUUUAAGAUGCUUCCAAGUACCCAAUUUGCGGGAAGAUUUUUGGGCUGUGUUCAAGGUAAAAAGACUUCAUGUCUUUGGCUGCAAAGAGCGGGCGAUUGUUCUCGUCAGGUGCUGCUAACAUCGCUGUGACGAGACCACCGGUGCUUGUUCCAGCGAUCACGUCGAAAUAAUCUGCAAUCCUUACGUCGUCACCGUCGAGUUUCUGCACCGGAUAGAGUGCAAGAUUUCAGUGAUCCGUGAUGAUAGAUUAAUCGUUACUGCAGCUUGUCAACUCGCCCUCGAUGCAUCUCGUACUUGAAGCUCCGACUCCAAGAAGCUGAGGAUGGUGGCAGGGAUAACUCCUCUUAUUCCGCCCCCAUCUAUGCUCAGAAUGGUGAUCAACUUCCCACACGUAGAGGCCUGCUUGACGAUCGAUUUUGAUCUCUCCAUGAAGACGUACAACGUAAUGAAUGAAACAGGAUCGAGACGAAUCAGUGAUCUUUCAGGUCGAUGGUUGGCUCUUUUGCAUCCGGGAAGCUGACGACGAGCAUUUAUAUAGGAGACAAAGGGAAUCGAUUGAGUAGUCUUCUUUUUGGAGUGCCGAUCGAUCUAAACUAUGAGCCAAUACGAAUUGACUUUUCGAGCGUUUGACAUGCUCUUCGAUAGCCGUGUGGACGUCGACACCAAUUCAUCGUUCUAACAUACCAUAUCCAUAUCCAGAAUGAAUUAGUUGACUUCCAAAGGUAAUGAACUAUAACAAUGGUAUGACUUUUCGGUGGAAGCAAUUACCGGAUGAUAGCUGGUAUGGUUGACCUUAAAUCGAGUCUUCAAACGUUAAAACGAUCGAGCUUCUUGACCUAGGAAGAUUAGUUCGUCCUCGACAGCGACAUGUUUGGACGAAGGUUGUUCCAAUCACAGUCAUCCGACUCUCGUGGCAAUGCCUUGGUAUUGUUGUUUCAAUUAAACAACAUAAAUUUCAUCAAAGAGAUGCAGAAACUCGAUAGAUACAUUCACGUUAGACAUGUGCUGAAUCCGAAAAAUGAUAAUGUCUUGGUUUAUGACAAGUACAUGAUGGAGACGAUGAUGUCAUGCAAUCUGUACACAACUGCUGCUUAAUGUUGACAGUCCAUUAGAAUAUAUUUGAUGUCGAUGAGUGCAUUUUCCUAUUGUAAGUUUGAAUCUCUCCUGUAAUUUCAGAUUAGAAUAAGAGUCUCGACAUUGAUUGAAUCAAGAAACAAAAAGAAUUUUAGAACGCAGCAAAGAUGAGAAUAUUAUCUGCACUGGCAGUAAACAAACUGUACAUAGGAGAAUUCGGAAUUACAGGUGCUUUGACUGUUAGCUAUGACUUGGCUCAUCUGCAACACUGUAUCUUUUUUAUUCCUCGAAACAUCCUCCUACGAAUUGGCUUUUUGCGAUCUCAACUUGCUUUUGCAGAGCCGUGUGGUCAUCAUCGCAAGUUCAUCAUUCUAAUGUACCAUAUUGACGCCAGGAGUGCUUCUAAUGACUUCAAUGGGUGUCAAACCCAUGCUGAGACUUGCAGGUGGAGGGUAAUCCUGAUUUGAGUUUCCUGAACAGGGGAAGAUUAAUUUCUGUCACUGAUACAGUUGCAAUCACAGUGCAUCUAAAUCCUAGUUGGGUUGACCCGACUCGUCAAAUACCUCGAUCUCUUUGCUGUCGUUCGCCAGCUAAGAUUAUUCAAAUCAAACAACAUAGAUUUCAUCAAAGCAACGGAAGUCAAAUCCAUUGAAAUGUAAGAUUUUUGACACGCAGAAGCUUCUGCUGUAGCUAUUUUGCAAGAGCAGUCUAUGAAUCAAUUUAUCGCAUGAAGAAAAGAGGAUCUGAAAAGGAUACCGCCAUGCUUGACUGAGAAGAACACACGUUGAGAAGUAGAUGAUGGAGCCGAUGAACUCAGAACAAAGCAAUCCAUACAAAGCCACUUUCCGGUUGAUAAAGUAAGACAAAGUCUUGAUUCAGAUAAUGAUGUCAAGGAGUAGAUUAUACGUUGGGAUCUCUUUUAGCACAAAUCUUCAUCACAAUUAAAACUCCUGACGUUGCAUCAAGAAGCUAAAAAUGGAUUCUGUAUCACUGCAAAGAGAAGAAAGCAACUGCGGUGUUCUGAUAUCUUAUACCGGACUGUACAUAGGAGAACUCGAGUGAGCUUCUUUGACUGGUAGCUCUGAAUUUUGUUGCUUGUGUUAUUGUUUUUGGGGUCAUUCUACUGUGUUGUUCGACCCCUCAGACAGCAGGGCAUCACAUAUGUGCUCUGAAUUGAUGGCUAGUCCGAAGGAAAUGGAUUGAUGAAUAGAAACCGGUGAUAGAUAAUUUUCCUGGUUAUAUAUCCUGAUAUCUUAUGGGUUACAUUGUUAGGAUUAUAGCUAACAAAGUUGAAGGUGCAGUAAGGAUUUUGCAUUUGUGCUAGGGAUAUUCAAAUCAAACCUAAAAACUCAAACCAGUCCAAAAUUAUUUCGGUCUAAAUCGGUUCAUCAAUAAUUUGAUUUUAGAAACUAUAAACAAUUUUGAUUCGAAUAUAUAUUUCUUAAAUUCCGUGAACAUGUUUAAACUAAACUGAACUGAUUUUACAAAAUUCCUUUGGGUAUUUGGGUUCCAUGAUCAUAUUAUUUAUACAAUUGAGAUGUUAGUCCAAUUUCAAUAUUACAUGAGUCCAACUUCAAAAGUUUCGUCAUGUUGAUCCAACUAGACCAAGAUUCAAUUCGAUUCAAUCGGUUCAUUUGAAUAUAUAUAUAUAUAUUAAAUUAAUUGACAAACCAAUUAGUAUGAUUAACCGAUUCGAUUAAGUAGAUCGGAAUUGAUUCCGGACCUAUCUUACUUUUAAAAUUCACAUUCUCAAUAAAUUCUUCAGGGUAGGCUUUGUUUAUGCUCCUAUUUUAAUAAUGAUCACCACGUGAGGUUAUUAAAAAGAUGAUGAUGGCAAAUCAAUGAUUAGCGCAUGAAUCAAGAAGCAUCUUUCGAGGUUUAAUAAGACGACAAAGUUGAAGGUGGCCCACCAAUUACAAAUGUUUUGCUAUCAUCUCAAUUCAUUGUAAUUAUUUAGAUCGAUGAAAUUAUUUGAAAAUGGAUGAUGCCACAGCCAAUACAAGAAAAAGUGCCUUACGAUUGAUACAAUACGAGGCUCAAACCAUAUGCCUCCGCCGAUAUGGUUGUCCAGUGAAUGCAUAUCGACUUCUCAAUCAAGUCGAUGAACUUACACAACAAUACAUACAACACGAAGUAUAUAUUAUUCAUGUGCUCUAUGCAUGCUAUCUUCUACGGUUAAGCAUUUGGGCAUAUGUAUAAAAAAAUACUAAAUCAGUUAAAUCUAGCAAAUUGUUCUAUAUUCAAAAUGCUUUCUGCAAUGCAAAUGUAACACACAAGCCAAACUGCAGUGGGAGAAAUAUAAGACAGUAAUGAAGAUAAAAGAUGUCAUCAAACUUAAAGACCUCACUUCGCACUGCGUUUACUAAAACUCCAAUUUUUGUUCCGUGGAUAUCUCCUCGACAUCGAAUUUGUUCCCACGAGAGAGCAGAGUAAUUAUAUGAACUUAGUCACGGGUUAAGAAGCUUACCAGACGGUCCAACUCCACCGCAGCCUUGUCGCAGUCGGGCUUACUGAGGAAAUACACAUGCUCCUCGUCCUCCGUCUCCAGCAGCUCCGCCUCCCCUUCCCACCCGCUCUCCUGCAGUUUCUCGUAGUAGGCUUUGCCUCUGUCUCUGAACCAGUCCUUCUCGGUGACGCUCACCAGCACCCGUCGGCAUGGCAACGCCUUCAGGAUCGCCGGAUCUCCGAAAGGAUCCACCCGCGGAUCGUCGAUUCCGAAACUCCAUCCGCACACGAAUCCCCACGUGGUCUCCAGCCACUGCCUAAACAUGGGAUCCGUCGGCUCCGAUCCGACCGGCUCUUUUCCCCAGAAGUACGCGUGUAUCAGCGCCAGCCCUGUGAUCGGGACCGCGUUGGGCAAGGCGUCCGUCCGCGUGCGCAUCAACACGUUGUGGGCAAUGUUGGCCCCCGCGCUGUCCCCGGCCAGGAAGACCCGCCCGAAGUCCCCGCGCUCGGCCAGCCACGCCUCCGGGCCCCCGCUGCCCCCCGCGUGGGACGCCACCCAGUUCAAGGCCGCGUAGGAGUCGUCGUACGCCGCGGGGAUCGGGUGCUCCGGGGCGCGCCGGUACUCCACCGACACAACGACGAAGUCGACGCGGGCGACGAGGUUGUUGAGGAAGCCGUCGUAGGUGGGGGAGAAGGCAGACUCGAUGACGAAGGCGCCGCCAUGGUAGUACACGAGGACAGGCAGCUUGCGCUUACCGGAUUCGUCGGAGGAGCAGCGGAUGUAGAGACGAGCAGAAAGACCGGUCUGCGGGUCGAUGACCACGUCCUUGGAGGCGACGCCGGUGGCGGUAGCGACUCCGGCAGGGACGACGUCGGUGCCGAUGAGGCGCUCCACGUGACCGCUCUUGUACAGGCGGAGGAAAGGUGGGAAGUCGAAUACGAGCUCGGAUUCGGGAUCCAUGAGGCAGUGAAGAGUGGGAGACGAAGAGCUCAAUGGGACAGGAAAGGGGCAAGAGAGAGGGCCGAUUGCUUGAGCGGUCGGUAAAAGGUCGUAACAAAUCCAUACCGUAGAGGAACAUGUGGGCUGAGGAAGUCGUAACCACAUGGCACCUCCCUAUACAGCAUAUCGAUCUGCUGAGCCAAUUCUGUUUUGGGAGGACGUGCAUUAAUCAACGUCUCAAAGGUCCUUCCUCACCCGAUUAGAAUGCCACACAUUCUAAUCGAGAGGUGGGUAAAACAUGGUAUGGUUGGGCGUACCUUCGAAGGCAAGCCAUAGGAUACGUGACGUGGGACGCAGGGAACCAUGCGUUCCGGCCUGAGGGAAGAAAGGUGUGGAGUAAUGACAAGUUGUUGGUCCCUUGUCGGGACUCGUGACACGGGAAAUGAUUUGCUGGGACGUUGCAUCCAAAGUCUUUCAUUCACCCUCCCACCUCGUGCAGUAGGUGGCCUUCGCCACCGACAGUCACCAGCUCGCCGAUGGCAGCAGGUGGGCUUCUUAUUAUAAAUAUUAUUUUUUGGUUCAAUGAAAUCCGAUAGUAUUAAUUAUUUCCAUUUCUUGUAAGAUUACGGUCCCCUUCGACUGUGCUGCUGCAUUCGGUCCGGCCCAACAGGUUGGAACCGAAACCAGUUUGACUGGGUUCGACUGAAUCAGAUUCGAUGCAUGCGGUCGGGAGGAAACCGGGUCGGACCGUUUAGAGCCGGCUAGGCCGGUCAAUCCUGGACUAUCGAUAUUGGGCCUCAGACCAAUCGCAUUAUCUGGGCUCGACCAGUCUAGUAAAUUAAAAUUUCAUCUGGUAAUCAAAGGAGAUAUGUAUGACUGCCGCCGUGGAAGUAGACGACGACGGGGAGCCUCUUGUCCGGGGUGCAUCCCGCGAGGUCCGGUAGGUAGAGGCGAACCCAGAGGCCGGCGUCGGGGUCGAACAGGACGUCCUUGGAGGCGACGCCUGUGGCGGGGUCCGUCCCAGCGGGGAGCACUUCGGUGCCGAGGAGGCGCUCAACGCGGCCGCUCUUGUAGAUGCGAAGGAAGGGGGAGAGGUCGCGCUCGACUCCGGCAUCGGGAUCCAUUGCCUGUUGGAGCUUGAAGUCAACAAUCUCGACCUUAAUAUCCAUGCGCAGCGAGUGGUGGGAUUUAGUUCCGUAAGCAUUCAUUUCAAUGAGAGUGGAAUAAGAAGAAAAAUAAAAAAAAAGUCACUAUAAUACAUUAUUUCUUUUAGCAAUGCUAAAAAAAUAUUAUGACAUAAUAUAAAAAUACUAUAACAUGGUAUUUUUGUAUUAUGUUAUAAUAUUUUUUUAGUCUUGUUAAAAAUACUGUAAUUGAAAUGAUUUAUCCUAUAAAUCGAUUAGGAGAGAAAAGAAUAGGCGGCUUAUGGUAUUUGAUUCAGUUUGAAAAUCUCAUGAAAAGUAUUUCUCAAGAAACAUAAAAAAAAAAUUAGAAAAAGUUAUCUAUAUAUUUUUUUUCUUAAAUUAUACUUUGAUAUAAAAUAAAAAUAAAAAUAAUCUAUUUUUUCCUUAAUUUUGUUAGUUUGAUCGAUUAGAUAUAAUUACUUCCCCUACCCAUUUGGGAAAGAGAUGUAGACGCAAUAGAAGGAAAGGCUAGUAUCGAUUACCUCUCUUGGGACAUGAAAUUAAUGGUUACCUACUUGAUUAGCAAGUAAACCUUUAAAUACCUUUUAAUUCAUUCAUUUGUCCCCACCGCCAACCUUCAAUCUCCCACAUUUUCCAUGACCCAUUCAUUCCCGUUCCUCUUUUACAUCGCGUUGGAGGUCAUGGAAAGUGCAGCACUCGAUCUUUCUUCCCAAAAGACAGGUCCCACAAACUCAUCCUCGUGCCGAAAGACGAUGAGCAGUACCACUUCGUCACCACCACCACCACUAUCAGUACACAUCUCUCAAUUGAUUAUACAUCAUCAUACUACAGCUCAUAGACAAUAUUAUCAUCAGGUACUCACGAGAAGUUUCAAAUUGAUUUGAUGAAUCAUUUAUACAUGCCAAACUUACCAACAAAUGAAAAAAAUAAUUAUCCUUUUUCUAAUUCUUGAUCACUAUUACUGAUCAUUAAUCUAAAAAUUGACAUAGUUCCCUAAGCGAGCUAAAUUGGUCAUAUAGACAAUCAAUAAUUUUCUAUUAGCUUAGCGUUCAUGAAAAAUAUAUAAGAGAUUCGGAAGAAUAAAAUAUUAGGCGAUUGUCCGAAAAGAUAUCUUAUUUUUAUAUUUUUCCUGCAUGGUAUCAUUUUUAAAAAUUCUCAAAUCAUCAUCCACUGUUUCAAAAAGUUUAAAAACAUCCUCCAAAAAUUAUUCACAGUAUUUUUUUGUUGUCAAUUAUUUACAGUAUUCUGUGUAUUAAUUUGUAUCCACAAAAUACUAUAUAAUAUUUCAAAAACAUUAUAUAGUAUUUUCGUUUCAAAAGACUAUGAUAUCAAAAAAAUUAUACAGUCUUUUUAAAACAAAAAAUAUAAUAUUUAUAAAAAAAAAAUACUAUAUAGUGUUUUAUGGGUAAAAAUCAAUUCAUAAAACACUGUAAAUAGAUUUGGGCAAAAGAAAACUUUUCGAAGGAGUAUUUUUGAAACUUUUAAAAUAAGAGAGGAUGGUUUUGAAUUUUUUUUUUUAAAUAAUACUAUCUAAAAAAAUAAAAAGUAUAUAUAUAUAUAUAUAUAUAUAUAUAUAUAUUUCCGAACAGGCGUCCUUAUUCCUGCACAUCACUGUUAUAUAAGCCUGUCCGAUGUGCUGCUCCAUGAGGCGGAGUAGGGACGAACACGGUGGGAAAGUAACUUCUUUUACUUGGGAUAAGCCUACGAGUCACUUUUUGUCAGCCUACACCAAUGCAGCUAAUACAUGCUCUAUACCCCAACAGUGUCCUAUUUCUGAACAUAGGCUUUUCCUGCCUGUCCCCAUGUGCUACCUCCCUCGUCUCUCUCUCACCAACCCGACGCUAUUCCCCCUCUUCUCUAUUCAAGUCCAGGCGUGUCCUAUCUCCUCCCCCAUCUCACUCCACAGCCAUAAAUCAUUGGAGCCGACUCUUUGGAUUCCGCGCUGCUGUCCUUUCAUUAAUGGCCGAGUUGUUGACGCCGGAGAAAAGAUAAGCCAUUCGAAGAGAGAUUUUGCGCCUCUCGGAUGAGGGAUUCCUUGGAUUGUUCCUCGUGGCAUCGAGUGCGUCUCCUUGAUUUGAGUUGGUCCAUGACAAAACGCAUUAUAUGGAAUUCACAUAUAAAGCCAUUGUCCUCUGAUGAUUUAACGGACGCAUGUUGAUCCCCAUGCUGUAUAGCUUGUGACUCUAUUACAUGCUGUACAAUUUAGAUUAGCAACUUUUGUCUGUCUCUCUCGUACUUGACACGCUACAAGACAAGAGCGCUCUCGUUAACCUCACUUCUACCGUGGUUAAGACGCCGACACCUUAAAUGCACUCUACCAUGGGAACUAUUCUCUUCCUGACUAACACAGGUAGCUUUGCCCCCUUUCCGCCGUACUCUCCCCACUGUGUCAGCGCCACUACGAUGACAAAAGGAAGAUGAACGGAAAAAAGGCGCAGCGUUUUCCCUUCGUUAGCCCAGCCCUGCUUGGAAUCUUCCACGCUCACUCUCUUCUUGGCUGUUUACCCAAAUCAUCCAACGCCGCUGCUCUCCCAAUCGUACGGUCCGAGACGAUCCCAACCUCGAGCCGGCACACCUCCAGUCACUCAUCCCCUUCCCUGAACGCGCACAGAUAGCCGCCCUAUUCCGUACCUUCACAGCAGCAAUGCUUUUGCUACCCACUUACAUCUUAUCCUCCGCGCCUACCUCCCCUGGCGUUGGAACCCAUCUAUGGCCCCACGCUGUCUCCGAUUCGGCAUCAGCUUAUCAUCGGGCGGCGACUGUGGGUGAACGCAUAGCCACCACGAGUCCCAUUGGGACCUUGGAUUCCUUUUGAUCAGUACGCAUUAAUCUAAAAGAAAGAGUUUCCACGUGGGCCGUACGAUGAUCUGGAUGGACGACGACGAUGGUAAUAAGCUUAAGCAGAGUUCACGGUGACAAUAUAACGGACGUCGAACGACCAGUGAGUCAUAAAUAUUUAUCCUUAAUUAUAAGCUGUUAUUUCCGGCUGAAAUUUAAAUAAACCUAAAUAAUAGCCAAGAAAAAGUAAGUAUUAGAUAUCUAUAUUUGUUAAUCUUUUAAAAAUUCAAACUGAUUUUUAAAAAUCUCAUCAUCUUCUUCUGACCAUUUGAUGUGAAUCAGACGGACGAACUUGCGAUAUCCGCAUCAACGGUUCACCGGACGCAAAGGAGAAUCUGGGGCGGUGAGUGGCAUCACUGUGAUUCAAUAACAAGGAUAGGAGAUAUAUGGUAAUUGAAGCCUGACCACAGUUAUUGCCAGAGCAGUUUGUCGCCAAACAAGGGUUCCGGACAUAACGAACCCCUCGCACGACCGGCAGCAUCCCGUUUCUCUCCCCGAUCCAUGUGAUUUCACCGGAAUCUAGAAUCUGCCACCGGUUCUGCGGGUGGACCAAAGCGGGAGUCUGGUCCGACGGCACGUCGCCUUCGGCUUGUGUCGAAAUCGUGUGAACGGGAAAAACGCAAAAGUAACUGCGACGCUGAGGCGGUUAGCUUGGAUCAGAUCCACAGUUUUUUCUCCGGUUUUAGCCUGCGCUUCUCGGUGAGAAAGGAUAAAGAGGGCGAGGCAUGGGGAAGUACACGAGGAAGUGCAGCAGAGGGGUCGAGAAACUCUCGGUGAUGGAGGUGACCCAGGUGGUGGGGGUGAGGAGGAGGGCACGGGUCCCCGCCGUGGCCGUCGCCGCUGACGCGGCCUCCGCCAGAAGUUCGAAGCGGAGGAAGACGGCGCCGCAGCGGACGACGGAGGUUGUGCAGACGUCGUCCUACCUCCAGCUUCGGAGCCGCCGCCUCUUCAUGACAUUCCGGAAACCAAGGCUGCUGGCAGCGAAUGCGGCUGCCUACAGCACCGGCCCUGCUGUGGAGGGUGUCUCCCGGUGCUCGAGCAACGUUUCCGGCGACGUGGUGGUGGAUGAGCAGGUGAGUCGUCGGAAUCCGAAAUCCCUGUUGAGAUUCGAACUCGUUCGCCUCGAAUUCACGUCAGUUCUUGCUUCUUCUUCCUUCCUUCGGUUCAGGAGGGCGAGGGUCUAGAGCGCUUGACGUGCAAUUUUGGAUCCAGAAGAGCGAGGUUUGUGCGCUUACAAUUAUCAAACUUCCCGCCUUUUCUUCUUGCAAUGUUUUUUAGUUUAGGAUUCCCUGCUUUCUCUUCGGUAGAGAGACGACCCCCUCGAGAGAUGCACGACGCGAAGCGAGCGAUCGGAAAUCAACCACAGCAACAUCGACUUCAAGAACGAAGACAGAGGUGGAGAUCGAGGAGUUCUUCGCGGCGGCGGAGAGGGAGCAGGCGCAGCGCUUCGCCGCCGAGUAUGCUCGUAUUUCGUCUCUCUCUCUCUCUCUCUGUUCGUUUUCUUGAAGCUGAAACCUUCACUUUUUUGGGUUCCGCUUCGCCGCAGGUACAACUACGACGUCAUCGGCGACGUUCCGUUGGACGGCCGCUUCGAGUGGGUUCGAAUCCUCCGAUGAAGCGAAAUGGCCAAAAACCGAGAAGAAAAUGACUUUUUCUUCAAUUCUCUAUUUGAUCUGGUUUUCCUUUAGGGAGUUUGUGGUUUCUUCUAGAAGCUAUGUACAAAAUUGUACGUUAAACAACCGCCAUUUCGUCUCUGUUCGCUGGCCAUUUCUCCACCUCCUGUCCGAGUCACAGACAGAAGAGGAGGAAGGAGAAUAGUCUGUUUGGUCACCCGUGUUGUACUCCUAAUAAAUGCUCAUCUGCUCUCCCCUCUCCUUUUCCGUCAUUUGAUCUCGUGCGCACGGCCAGCCUUGGUUGGCGGACGAACCGAGCCAGAAAAAGGCUUGGCGGAGGAGACAAUACUGGCAGUCUAUCGCUUGGGUAGCAGGGUGCUGCGUUACGUGUACAGAGUCUCCUUCCUUCCCUCGGUCUAGACAGCAGUUGCGUUUUAUUGUCUGCUUUAAUCUCCAUCAUCUAUCGCACCUGAAGGAGACUUCAACUCAGAUGAUUUGCUGGCUACUAUUGGGGCGGCAUCGGAUCCCGUGACGGGUCAUCAUGAAAUGAGAUGAGAUGGAAGAACACUACUACACAGGGCGGGGAGAGAAAGAGGGGAUGGAAUGCUACCAACUUCGGAAGUCGUGUGAGAAAUCAGAGAUUGUAAUUUGAGAUGCGUGAUUUGUGUUACAUGUGAUUCGGGAGGUUGGACUUCUGGGGCUGUGUAGACUUCAGGUGGUGGGGUCCCUACAGGGGUAACAUUUCGCGUGGAGGACCGUAGAAAGUAGAGCCUACUUCCAUGUGAUAACUGAGAGACUUCAUUAGAAUGCUGUUUAAGGCCUUGUCGAAGUCAUCUUUCUUGUCGUGGUAGUACAAGAGACUAUGUUUACUUACGACAAGAGAAUUUUAUUCUCCAAAAACUCUAAAAGAUUUUCCUAAAAAUCCUGUUUAAAAAAAUAUGAUUAGAAUUAUCUAAACAUACCUCUCAAUGUCUUAAAAGAAUCUCUUAACCCUAUCAGAACUAAAAAGACUCGAGAUCACAUUACAACUAAAAAUACAUGACCAUUGAUUUGAUCUAAAAAGCAACUAAAUACUAUGGACAAAAUGUUAUUAAAAAUAAUAAAAAGUGAUAUUCAAUUGCAAAGACUUUCACCACUUUGUAAUAAAUCCUUACAGCUCAUUGGAGCAAAAUUUUACAUGACAAAUGAUGACGUCUUAUAAACAAUUAUAGUUUAUAUGGAUAAACAAUUAGACACUAAAUGUUCCACUCUCUCUCCUUCAGUUUUGUCUUUGAUACUUGAACUUUGUCUCUGUGUACUCCACAUUCUUGGUUCGUUUUAUGACCGAGCGUUCUUCCUUUAUGAGAACAAGGGAUCGAUGAUUUCAUUAAAGUCUUACCUCUGUAGUACUAUGGUGCUGCCAUGCCCAUGACUCUACUAUCAAUUUUUUCAUGAUCGGUAGAUAUAUCUAUUUGGCACUCCUUUAAUUUCACCUCCAUUUUAACCGAUGCUUUAUUUUGGAUAGCUAAGUUCUUUUGGACUCGUUGUCUCUUCCUCGUCCCUUUCGACCCCAUGCUUCAACAUCUCUAUGUUCUCCCAACAGUUUUCCUUGGUCGAUAUAAAGAUUGACUGUAACUCCUAUGCAUGGCCUUUGCCAUCAUGUUGUAGGGUUCUCAUCAAUUUUGUUCUCCUUAGCUUCCUUGAUAAUAAUGUUCGUUUAUUCGGUCUUAUACUCUAAUUUGUCGGGCUCCCUUAAGCGAAUAUGAGCUCUGGAACGGUCCAACUCUCUAACCGCACUGAUCAUACCUCUGUAUGAUCAAGUCCCUCAAUGAGACACACUACUUGCAUUCGAACUUUUCCUUGGGUGGUAUACAACCCGAUGACCAAAGCUUUCAUCCGAUGUAAAAUUCUCGAGAGGUAUACAACCAUAUUAUCCUAACCCCUCCCAUAUAUAUUAACUCUCUCGUAUAUACUAACUCUUUAAGACCCACUCUAUGUGAUAAGGGUAAAAAUGGCGAUGUGACACGCCAUGACGUCAGCCAUGUCUGGACAACACACUGCCCGAGGAAGUCAGCAUUAACACCUAACUCAGGCUUGGUUCUUCACGCCACGCCAACCCCAUGUCAGACGCUAUCAGCCUGCCUCCUGCAAGCAGCCACAUCAGGUAACAUCAAACUCAUCUAUAAAUACCCCAGAGUUCUAAACGAANNNNNNNNNNNNNNNNNNNNCAGGAGGAGGAACACAAGGACAACGCACUCAGAGGCAUCUCUUCCUCCAAAACCCUCUCCACAUCGCUAACUUGAUCGUCGGAGGGGUCGGGCCGAGCUCCCGGCCCGACCUGUGUGCAGGUGAGAGACGGUGUCGCCUCUUCCCGGCGCUGCGGCGGAGCUUCCUCCCGACCCGACCUCCCGACCCGCCGUCUCGACCCGAACCACCGUGCUCGGCCACCGGGAGACCCCGAGGGACGCCGCCCGAGAUCCCCGACAUCCGGACCCCCGAACCGAGCCGCGUCGACCCCGAGGCCUCGGCUUAAAAGGUAUUUACACUAACACUAUGUAUAAAUCAUAGCCUAUCCCUCUCUUAUUAUUUCUUGGGAGUAAAAGAGAGUCAUGAGAAAUUGAUGAUUUUUAAUUUAUAUUAUAUUUUUUACUAAAUUACAUUAGUUUGAUCUAUAAAAAUUAUCAAUGAUAUAACUUGGAAAUCGACCCUUGGUCCAUGGUCAAUGAUUUAAUAGUUUCUCGAAGCUUGAAUCCUUAUCCAUGUUUGCAUUCCGCCCGAAUCCGAUAUGUAGGAUUCGGAUGGUGUGUGAUCAAAGUGGUCAACUCAACCAAAUCUCUCCCCUUUAAAUAAUGGUGAAGAGAUUUCUUGUUUUGUUUAUGUUUCUAGAAUGAUAGAAUGACGGAUCUAUACCAGUAUAUUUUAUUCCCAAAAUCUCAAGAUAAUAUUGCAUCACGUGUUUCAAACAAAGGUAGUCAACGAUUGAUUAUGUUUACACAUCAUUCCAUUGAUAGAGGGAAAAAUAAAUGUUCUAAUGGAUAAAUCAAGCAAUGAAAGGAUAAACACACAAACUCUGACCUUCUUCUUCUAAUUAUAACGCUACCGUUUCCCUCUGCCAUUUCAAAGACACGUUUUCACCCUUUUUAAGUUUACCCUGCCGCUAUACUUGCCUUUUGAUUGGACAAAGUUGUCAGGUGGUAAAGAUAAGGGCCCCACCGUAGGCUGCCAGUCACAUAAAUAGUAGGUAGAUAGACAGCUUAACCUUUUCAACCAACUGUUUAAUGAAUCAUGAGUUAUUUUCAGCCAAUCUGCCUGCUUUGUGAUUCGGGAGGAGUCCAUGGAGCAACGUGGGGCCCAUCGAGGGGUCAGGAUCUUCUCCCAUGAAAGGUGAAGCGAAUGUUCGGGUACCGAGAAAAAGUAUGAUUUGUAAUGGUUCUUUAUCCUACGCCACCGCGAAAUAUGGUGUCGAUGCUAUCCAAAUCAUAAGGGAAAGCUUCCAUGGCAUGAACGGAAGCGAAACGAAGCGCUCAUAAGGGAAAGCUUCCAUGCUGUUCCUUCUGUUGUCCUCGGUUCGAGUCCUUGCGCGAAGAAAUUGGGGUUCUUCUUAUCGCUCGACGGGGUUGGAUAGAUUAGGGAUUUUUGAGAGGGUUGGACCGCGGACGUUGCGGUGAUGUGGGGCGAAGGAGGGCGAUUCUACUGGGGGAGGACGGAGGGAGAAGAGCAGAGGGAAGUCAAGGGCAUCGUGGUGCUGUUCGCGUGGAUAUCCAGCCAGGAGAGCCAUCUGAAGCCUUUCAUCGAUCUCUACUGGUCUCUCGGGUGGAGUCCCCUCGUCUGCCAUGUCGACUUUCUCACGCUGUAAUCGCUGAGUUCUCUGGUUAUUUCUUUCUUUCUAGCAAAAAUUAUGCACGGCAUCGACUUACGUCAUUUUUCUUCGAUGUCUCGGUUGUUCCAGUGCCUUUGAUCUUCUACAAAUUCAAUUUUUUUUUUAUACUGAAUACUUAAGGCCUAUGUGCAAUUGGGGUUCUAAAGUCGCGAACUAUAGCAUGAUCAUGCCGAAUUCUGAAUAUAUAGUAUUCCUGCGAGCAAUUCUUGAGUCGAGCAUAAACGUGUUUGCUUUAAUUAGGGUAUAUUGUAUGUUUUUAAGGAGAUUGAUAUUUUUUUGUGUGUGUAUUUACCUAUAGCAGAACGUAUGUUGGUAGACAUAGCCCAAGCUUCCUUCAAAACUUUCAAUAAAGAAAAUUGCCCGAGUCUUGAGUUGAUUGAAUUUGUUGAAAAAGAACUCUAAAUAUUACUGAGACUGUAUUGUGAAUUAUAAAUACGAUAUUGUGACAAAGGAAACUUAUUGGCUUUCAGGACUAUUUUCUAGUUUGUGAUAGUUAUCUGCUACAGCAUGUAUCUGUGAUUGGAUAUGCAAUUUUAGGAUCUGUUUCUUUUCCUAAUUCGUGGCCAUCUUUUCCAAUAUUGCUUGUUUUCCAAUGACAUGUAUGAAUGGAAAUCUUAUGUAAGGAUGGUUUCUUAUAAAUAAAUAAAUGAUCAAUAUAUUUUGAUCUAUGGAUUGUAAUUUUCUUUAUUUUGUUUUUUCUUCUUCUUAUUUUACUUCUUGUACCUAGGGGUUAUAAUCCAGAAAGAUUAGAGACUGACGUAGUGAAUGAAUAUUAUUUCUAUGAUUAUGUGCAAGUGGGUGAACUUAUAGUUUUCUUUUUAAUGAUGCUACUCCGUUAAGACGUGCAGAAACAUGAGCUUUAAUUUUCUAAGUGUCAAUCCUUAAGUCAGAGUUAGUCUAAUUGUUCUCUUUUUUUCCCUUUAUCUCACUUAAUUCAUCUUUUUUUUAUUCCGCAAAAAAAAACUAAAUUCUUGAAAAAAAUGCUUGCAAGUACAUGUAUGUCUUCAUCCUACAUCUUAGGUAUCGAAGUAUCUAUUCCUACAUCACAUU
rnacentral:lncRNA from 1 species